AGCCCGUUAAUGGGUGAUGGCGUGCCUUUUGUAGAAUGAACCGGCGAGUUACGAUUUGAUGCAAGGUUAAGCAGUAAAUGUGGAGCCGUAGCGAAAGCGAGUCUGAAUAGGGCGUUUAGUAUUUGGUCGUAGACCCGAAACCAGGUGAUCUACCCUUGGUCAGGUUGAAGUUCAGGUAACACUGAAUGGAGGACCGAACCGACUUACGUUGAAAAGUGAGCGGAUGAACUGAGGGUAGCGGAGAAAUUCCAAUCGAACCUGGAGAUAGCUGGUUCUCUCCGAAAUAGCUUUAGGGCUAGCCUCAAGUGAUGAUUAUUGGAGGUAGAGCACUGUUUGGACGAGGGGCCCCUCUCGGGUUACCGAAUUCAGACAAACUCCGAAUGCCAAUUAAUUUAACUUGGGAGUCAGAACAUGGGUGAUAAGGUCCGUGUUCGAAAGGGAAACAGCCCAGACCACCAGCUAAGGUCCCAAAAUAUAUGUUAAGUGGAAAAGGAUGUGGCGUUGCCCAGACAACUAGGAUGUUGGCUUAGAAGCAGCCAUCAUUUAAAGAGUGCGUAAUAGCUCACUAGUCGAGUGACACUGCGCCGAAAAUGUACCGGGGCUAAACAUAUUACCGAAGCUGUGGAUUGUCCUUUGGACAAUGGUAGGAGAGCGUUCUAAGGGCGUUGAAGCAUGAUCGUAAGGACAUGUGGAGCGCUUAGAAGUGAGAAUGCCGGUGUGAGUAGCGAAAGACGGGUGAGAAUCCCGUCCACCGAUUGACUAAGGUUUCCAGAGGAAGGCUCGUCCGCUCUGGGUUAGUCGGGUCCUAAGCUGAGGCCGACAGGCGUAGGCGAUGGAUAACAGGUUGAUAUUCCUGUACCACCUAUAAUCGUUUUAAUCGAUGGGGGGACGCAGUAGGAUAGGCGAAGCGUG
rnacentral:rRNA from 1 species